rnacentral:lncRNA from 1 species
GGAAGUGUCACGUGCUCCCUCCUGGGAUCAGGGAGAGGUUUAGCCCCACUGAACCGUGGAAGCUCAGGGAGGGGGAUGAAGAACACUCUCAGGACCUUACUCUAAGAGUAAGGUAGAGCUGGGAGCUGCAAGGAGCCUGGUUCCUCAGUCACUUCAUGGAGCAGAGAGCCUCCUCGCUACCUGUGCUGAACUGUAUAAGAAGCAUGCUGUGAUAUUGAGUCAAUUGGUUGCCCAAUCACAGACAUCUUUCACUGACAGAGUAACAGGUGUGUGGGCUUUGAGCAGUCGCUACACCUUCCCUCUUCAGGCAUGAUGAGAGGAUUCCUGCAGCGUUUUGCAAGAGGGUCCACACUACCUUUAUGAGCUGUAACACUCACCGUGAAGGUCUGCAGCUUCACUCCUGAAGCCAGCGAGACCACGAACCCACCGGGAGGAACGAACAACUCCAGAUGCGCCGCCUUAAGAGCUGUAAUACUCACCACGAAGGUCUGCACCUUCACUGCUGAGCAAGCGAGACCACGAACCCACCAGAAGAAAGAAACUCCUAACACAUCCGAACAUCAGAAGGAAGAAACUCCAGACGUGCCAUCUUAAGAGCUGUAACACUCACCGUGAAGGUCUGCAGCUUCAUUGUUGAAGUCAGUGAGACCAAGAACCCACCAAUUCCGGACACAGAAGGACGAGGAAUGAAGGGUGUUCCGGUGGGUACAUGUUGGCUCCUUUGCUCAGCUCAAGUGACCUCUGAAGCCUGUUCUACCUUUCACAGUGGGAAGAGAGGAAAGGGUCACUAGAGUCAUGUGUAAAAUGUGGCUCCAUCUUCUCAAAUCAGGGAUGAAUGCCUGCCUAUUUCUGGAUAUGUCAGGGAAGGCAGACACAGAGAGUUAGAGAAAGGGAAAGAGAAUGAGACAGAGAGAGACAGAGAUAAGAAGGGGGAGAGGGAGUGAAAAAGAGAGAAGGAGAGGGUAAGGGAGAGGAAGGGAGGGAAAGGGGGAGAGAGAGAAAGAGGGAGGGAGAGAGAGAAACAGAGGAGACAGGGCUGAGAUACCAGACAGUGGAUUUAGAGUUCCUGGUUCCCACAAGGCUCUUUGUGUGAAUCAGAACAAGUUUUUCCCACUGGACAGCUGCAUCCCUAUGGGUCCAUGGCUUUCCCACUGGGCUGCAUCUUGAUAUGAAUUAGAAAAUGUCAUCUUUAAGUUGGAGAUUCUCCACCUCAGCACUGUGGACAUUUGGGCCAGAUAAUUCUGCUUUGGUGGGCUGUCCUGUGUAGAAUGUUUAUAGUAGCAUUCCUGGCCAUUACUCACUAGGUGCCAGUAGAAUGUAUAUCAAAUUGUGACAAUCAAAAAUGUGUUCAGGUAUUGCCAAGUGCCUCCUGGAAGGCAAAAUUGCUCCCUGUGAGAUCCGCUAACUUAAGUGAACAUAGCUGCGUGCAGGAGUGCAUGGUUUGGAGAAAGGAUUGUAGGUGGGUUUUUAGUCGUUCCCCAACGACUUUCUGGGCUCCAGUUGCUUCCUUGGCCAGGUACACUUGUGCAGUGCACAAUCUCCACAACUGUACAUAGCAGUCCUGCUGGUUCCUGUGCAUUCCUGUGUCAUGGCUGAAUCUCUUCCACUGGGUUCUCUGGGACACUCUUGAGUCCUUAAAGCAAAUGUGCCCUUUAUACAUUGUCUGUCUUGACUUUAGUUUUAUUUGUAGGUGAACAGCCAUUGUUCUCUUCUUAUCCCUCCAUCUCUGUUUGUGUUUUAUCAGAAAUUUCAAAAGAUGCUACUCUGUUUAUGUUAGCACAAGUAGCUACUGUGUGUGUUUCGAAACUUUUUGCAAGUGUGAAAGUGUUUGGUUUGAAAGGUGGUACCUGUAUUCAACACUCAUCAAAUCUCUUCUUCAAGGGCCUUUUCUUUUUUCUCUGACCUUUUAUUUUUGGACCAAACACCUCUAAGACACCAUAGAGUGUAUCAGUUUCCUUACAAAAAUGUGGCAUCGUUCACUUCAUUAACGCUGUUUGAUCUUUGACAAGUGAUAAAGGUGUGAUAUGAAACAUAAUUUCUCAUAACUUGAAGAUACUCCAAUUAGCAUAUAUGAGAUGGGAAAAAAUAAAGAGGGUAUUUUCUAAUUAAUUGAAAAUCAUGCUUAGAUUUAGAAUGGUGUUUCCCAAACUAUCAGGUCUGUAAGUUCACAAGAAAGAAUCACCACCAUUUUUAAGUAACAAAAAUAAAAUAAUAUUUUGAACA